AUCCCUUCUUGGCCUUUUGGCUAAGAUCAUGUGUACCAUCUAUUCUUAUCAGUUUAAUAUUUUCUGAUAGGAGAGCUACUCGUACUUCUCAAACCCAGCAGGCUGCCUCACACCUC
rnacentral:snRNA from 2 species